rnacentral:rRNA from 1 species
UACGGAGGGGACUAGCGUUGUUCGGAAUUACUGGGCGUAAAGCGCACGUAGGCGGAUUUGUAAGUCAGGGGUGAAAUCCCGGGGCUCAACCCCGGAACUGCCUUUGAUACUGGUAGUCUCGAGUCCGGAAGAGGUGAGUGGAAUUCCGAGUGUAGAGGUGAAAUUCGUAGAUAUUCGGAGGAACACCAGUGGCGAAGGCGGCUCACUGGUCCGGUACUGACGCUGAGGUGCGAAAGCGUGGGGAGCAAACAGG